UCACGUCUUACGACGGCAGUUUCACUAGAGUUCCCAGCGUUACCUGAUGGCAACUAGUGAUAGGGGUUGCGCUCGUUGCGGGACUUAACCCAACAUCUCGCGACACGAGCUGACGACAGCCAUGCAGCACCUGUGCGCGAUCUCCGAAGAGGGGCUCUCGUUUCUGAGAGCUUGCUCGCGCAUGUCAAGCCUAGGUAAGGUUCUUCGCGUUGCGUCGAAUUAAACCACAUGCUCCACCGCUUGUGCGGGCCCCCGUCAAUUCCUUUGAGUUUCAAUCUUGCGAUCGUACUCCCCAGGUGGAUCACUUAACGCUUUCGCUAGGAGACUGACCGUACAUCGCCAAUCUCGAGUGAUCAUCGUUUACGGCGUGGACUAC
rnacentral:misc_RNA from 1 species